CCUUUAGAGUUUGAUCCCUGGCUCAGGACGAACGCUGCGGCCGUGCCUAUUACAUGCAAGUCGAGCGGAGAUUGCUUUGGAAGGAUUUAUCUGGAAAAGCAAUUUUAGCGGCGGACGGGUGAGUAACGCGUGAGCAAUCUGGCCUUUACAGGGGGAUAACACAGGGAAACUUGUACUAAUACCGCAUAUUAUUAUUUAAUCGCAUGAUUGAGUGAUGAAAGUGGAAACACGGUAAAGGGGGAGCUCGCGUUCUAUUAGAUAGUUGGUGGGGUAACGGCCUACCAAGUCAACGAUAGAUAGCCGACCUGAGAGGGUGAUCGGCCACACUGGAACUGAGACACGGUCCAGACUUCUACGGAAGGCAGCAGUAGGGAAUAUUGGGCAAUGGGCGAAAGCCUGACCCAGCAACGCCGCGUGAGGGAAGAAGGUUCUCGGAUUGUAAACCUCUAUCCUUGGUGAAGAUAAUGACGGUAGCCAAGAAGGAAGCCCCGGCUAACUACGUGCCAGCAGCCGCGGUAAUACGUAGGGGGCAAGCGUUGUCCGGAAUGAUUGGGCGUAAAGGGCUCGUAGGCGGCUAAUCAAGUCUGGAGUGAAAGUCCUGCUUUUAAGGUGGGAAUUGCUUUGGAAACUGAAUAGCUUGAGUGUAGGAGAGGUUAGUGGAAUUCCCAGUGUAGCGGUGAAAUGCGUAGAGAUUGGGAGGAACACCAGUGGCGAAGGCGACUAACUGGACUAUAACUGACGCUGAGGAGCGAAAGUGUGGGUAGCAAACAGGAUUAGAUACCCUGGUAGUCCACACUGUAAACGAUGAAUGCUAGGUGUAGGUGGUAUCGACCCCAUCUGUGCCGCAGUAAACACAAUA
rnacentral:rRNA from 1 species